CCCCUGACGAUUUGCCUGCAACGAUUGCACGCACGAGGACGAAGGACGGGCGAUGUCUCCGUGCACGCUCUGGCCUGCGACGUGUGCAUGCAUGGAGCUGAUGAUAAUUGGUGCCCAAGUUCCCUUUUUUCUUAUUAAUUUUUUUUUUGCGGGUAAAUUGGUGCACAAGUACGGCACUGUUUAUACAUUGUUUCGUGCAUAUGGUAAAGAGCAAGGAAAAUGAUUUGUGGCAAGGCAGUCCAUCGUGCCUAACCUUAUCGGAACUAGGACUGACGUACGUACCCUUAUCCAACCACGCAUUAUGGACUGCCUAUAUAAGAUCUCGCUUUAUCGUAAUCUAAUCGUUUUUACACGUGCAGCGGUCGCGCGGAUGACGUGUCUAUGGGGGUGCUGAAAAUGAUUGUGCCGCGACUGUGAGGGCCAAAUUACGUGCGCUGAACACCAACCAAUCCCGGUCAACCGUAUAGAAUUUUUUUAAGCAAUGGCGCUGUCGGGACGUGAAUCUCGAGCCCACCGUUGGCCAAGCGUGCGCUCCAGCCGUCUAUGAGCGCGGGAAAGCCAAGGAGCACCGUGAUCUGGUCUCUGCCGACCUCACAGCCACGACCACCACUACAUGCUAAAUUCUAAGAAUCCCUUGAUUUGAUCUGCUAAAUUAUAGGAACCGUUCCAUGUAAUAUCUCUAUAUGCAACCAACUGGAGAUCUCGUACGUAGCGUGCGUGUUCAUUACACCUGAUUGACGUGGCCGUUUAGAACACGACACGACGUGAUCGCGCAUCGUUACAAGUCACGCGAUAAAUAACGUGAAACGCGAGCGCGCGCAUGACAGCCUCCAUAACCAUUUAUUU
rnacentral:lncRNA from 1 species